CAGGGAGCAGAGAGCCUGACAGCUGUGAAACUGGGAUCCGUCCCUGGACAGACCUGGAUGUGGUGGUCAUGGAACGACUUCAGGCAGCCCCAACCCAGCAGGAUCGACGUGUCAUCCUCCGGUCAGUGUGGCUGUAUUUGGGCUGACCCAGGUUGCCCGCAUCGCAGCCCACCUCUUUGGAACUGUCCUUCGGCACGCCAAGCUUUAUGCCUACGUCCUUACGCCCCAGGUGAGCUCAGCACUGUUGAAAGUAAAUGUGCAAUGGAGGUCAGGCCUGCCCUGAUUCCACUGCCCGUCUUCUGUCCCUGAGCCCAGGCUUGCCUUGACUUGACCCUGGUUUAUGUGGAUAGCCCCGAGCAUGGCCCAGAGGGACAGAUGCCUCCCACCCUCCCCGAGGAGCAAGGAGAGACCACUGGGAAUCCCAGCACAGGUGGGGCUGAGGGGUUACAAGGGAAGUGCUGGGAUUUUAAGUCUAGGGGACUACAGGGUAAUGAAAGGGACUGUAGGGUAAGUGGAGGAGCUCCCUCAUAUCUGGGAUAUACUUUGGGGUCUCAGGGAGCUGGAAGGUCAUGGGGAGGGUAAUGGGAGGCCCAUGGGUUCCUGGGGGCACGCAGUGGUCCCAGUGGUCUAGUGGGAUUAAAGGGGCAUCUUGUGGUUGUGAUUAUGAUGAGGGCCUUGUGAAGCACGACAGCAUGCAGAAUGAUCAAGGGGAGUCCUUAGGGUUGUGAGGUUCUGGGAGAAGUCUGGAAGGCAGCCCAAGAUCAGGGGUGGCUUUGGGAACUCCCAAGAGCAGCACAUACAUUGAUUAAUUCCCAUGGUUCUUCUGUGGCCUUUUUUGUCCAUCAGCAGCUUUGUCUUGAGACCUCUCUUCUCCAUGUCUUGCUGUGUUUCUGGUGACAUGUGUCCCUUAUGUUCCGAGUCUCUGCUGUCCCCUGUGCCAGGUUCUUAACGUGUCCCCAGGCACUUCCUUGCCACUGGAGUCAAGCUGUAGCUUCUGUCACCCUAUGUGCCCUGUUUGCAUGUCCCCCCAGCUUUAGUGUCUGACCUCUGCUUGCUUAUAUCUCCUCCUUAUUCCCAGGGCCUCUUGUGUCACCUGUUCCCCUAGUGUCAGGUCCUAAGCCCUGUCUUCCCACAUCCCUGUGCCCCCAUUGCUAAUACCUGUGUGUGUCUGUUCCCAGAGCCUCUGUUACAGGAGGCAGCAGUACCUGAGCUAAUGCAGGUUCCUGCAGAGAUGCAUUUGAGUAAAGAGGAUGUCUCUGUGUCUCCCCGGGCCUCUCCUAGGAGCAAG